CGGACGGCCCCUUGUAAAAAAAUACAUGCCCCGUCAAAAGCAAUAUAUGAUGUGGCUUGGUUCCUUUCUUCUAAACACGGUUUAUUUAAUACUAGUUUUGUUUUACAUCACUAACGACUCAAUUUUUCAAAAACUCCACUAGAGCCCUCGUCCUACGAUCAAAUGAACUCAUCAAAUGCAAGAUGGCGGGUUCAUCAACAUUUGACGGCCCGCUAAGAUUUGAUAGCGGACUUGCACGAAAACCAGUCGCAAUCUUGCAUUUGAUGACUAUUUGAUGAGUUCAUUUGAUCGUGGGACAAGGGCUUUAUGUGACUUGUCCUCGAAGCCGCUAUUUUAUAGUAUCGUUUUUUAGUUAGUAUUCUCCGAUACUGAGUGAAAUCUUUGGCCGCGUCCACACGAGCCCAGUUCCCGGAACUUUUGAGCGAAUUAGUUCAACGACCUGGGGUUUUGCAGAUUAAGUUAUAGCAGAGUUACAGUAAGUUUCGGGAACAAGUUCGCCCGAAAAUCCUCGAAUUUUGUUCGCGUGGACAAGGCCUAAGUAUAUAUAAAUACUUCAAAUGGUGAAAAUAGGGUUAAUCGCUGUUGAUGAACAUCCAUGUAACUUUUUUCGCAGGCUAUUCCGCAGGAUACUCCGCAUGUCAUUCCAAAAACAGUUCCUCAAGUUGAACCAAAGGUUAUUGAAAGAAGUUUCGGGCAUCUUGUAAAUGGGCUCAUAGGCAUAGAACUUUGGCGACGGGAGAUUCUAGCCAACGCUCUGGAAAACCCUAAAUACAAGGAAAACGCCCCCCUGAUCGCAAGCUUUCAACUUCUGAGCCAAGUUGAUUCUUACCUAAUUAAAGCACGAAAAUAUUAUCAAUCUAUCAAUAGACUCAUUCACUCUGACGAAAACUCAUUGGAUGCAAAACAGACUGUCGCGACUAUUGGCAAACUGAGAGAAAAA